rnacentral:rRNA from 1 species
UUGGGAGCUCUCCCAUAUGGUCGACCUGCAGGCGGCCGCGAAUUCACUAGUGAUUAGAGUUUGAUCAUGGCUCAGAACGAACGCUGGCGGCAUGCCUAAUACAUGCAAGUCGAACGAGACCUUCGGGUCUAGUGGCGCACGGGUGCGUAACGCGUGGGAAUCUGCCCUUGGGUUCGGAAUAACUUCGGGAAACUGAAGCUAACACCGGAUGAUGACGAAAGUCCAAAGAUUUAUCGCCCAGGGAUGAGCCCGCGUAGGAUUAGCUAGUUGGUGGGGUAAAGGCUCACCAAGGCAACGAUCCUUAGCUGGUCUGAGAGGAUGAUCAGCCACACUGGGACUGAGACACGGCCCAGACUCCUACGGGAGGCAGCAGUAGGGAAUAUUGGACAAUGGGCGAAAGCCUGAUCCAGCAAUGCCGCGUGAGUGAUGAAGGCCUUAGGGUUGUAAAGCUCUUUUACCCGAGAUGAUAAUGACAGUAUCGGGAGAAUAAGCUCCGGCUAACUCCGUGCCAGCAGCCGCGGUAAUACGAAUCGAAUUCCCGCGGCCGCCAUGGCGGCCGGGAGCA